UGUGCGGUGUAUGGAACACAGGAAGGACUUUGACGGGCUUGCCGGGAGUUCUGCCUUCUGGAUCUCUGGACAUGGCUGGCAAGGGUGGUUCUAGCUUGCGCUGUUAACAGACACCCUAGUCGGCCAUGUGUCUCCUUCAGCUGUCCUUGAUGGGGUGAGAGUGGAGUGGGGACCUGCCUGGGAUCCGUUGAUUGGGCCGGGGAUCUGGACCUCCGGGUGUAGUUUGUGCCGGAAGCUUCGACGCCUUCGGCGCCGAGACUUCCUUUAUAUCUCCCCUAACCCUAUUGGUGUCAUAUGAUAAAGCAUAUCAGCAAUCUAAAAACUGCAACAUUUACAAACAAAAAUGAUCUGACAUCAGCAUAGAUCUGAGCUAAGGUGUCAAAUAUAUUCAUUGAAACUUGCUGCAUUUGUGGCUAUAGAAUCUGAAAUGAACAGCAAAUUGUGCUUUGUCAUUACAGACUGUUGAAGUAUGGCACAGAUAUUAGCUGGAGCAGAGUUAGCACUGGCUACUCUAUCUGGUAUUUCUGUGUCUACUGAUAUCCUGGGAAAAGCUGUCAACACAGGGGAUCGAAACAUUUCAAUCCAUCUAACAAAUUACAGCAAGAAAUACAUCCUCACAAAUCCACAGGUAUAUACCUACAAUGGAUAUUGCUACAACCUCCCCCAACCCACUGUGAGAAUGGAGGAAACAGAAACAUGCUCAUUCUCCAACUGUGAUUUUCAAGACUUUUUAGGGGGCGCUGUGGGGGUCCUGACUUACGCCAUCGCUGAUGAGCAGAAGACAUGAAAGUCUCGUCAUAAUUUUCUCUGUGCCAUACAAUUACAUUGAGUCUAAAAAUGUAUUUGCUCUGGGCUUCCUUGGGGAUAAUUUUGUAGUUAAUGAAGAGUUGUACAACAAAAUGUAUUCUUCCGAUGGACCAUUUUCUAGAAUGGAGACAUAUGGAUCUGAAAACACCUAUAAGGGCAAUUGUUGCACUGUAAGGGGUACAAUGACUCCACUGAGCAAAUCAGUCAUGAAAAUUGAGUUAUGGGAUAACUAGUUUCAUGGAUCCUGAGUUUUGUGUGCAAGAACUGUUUAAUAUUGGCAUUGCAUUAAAGGAGAAAUCCGUCGACUGUUCACAGAGAUCUGUUUCUCGAGGUGACGAGUACUAUCCGUAUGAAAAAAACCUGGAAAACAAUUAGUUUUACCUAACUCAGGUUGCUGCAGCCAACAGCUAAAGCAACCUAAACCUAAAACCGAUUGUUUUUGGGGGUUUACCGUUAGUAAAUUUGCAGUGGUCUCUUAAUUUUUAACAUGACCGUCAACUCAUUUGAAUGUCACUCAGCAACCGUAGGAUGACAUCAGAAAAAAUGUGCAGUGGUCUCUUCAUUUUUUUCCAGAGCUGUCUAGAUAUAACAUUCUCUUACCCUGGGUGGUGAUAUAAAGGAAAUCAGUUUGGUGAACAGUAGUGAUGUAAUGUCUGUAACUUGCAAAAACAA